rnacentral:rRNA from 1 species
CACGUAGGGCGCGAGCGUUGUCCGGAAUUAUUGGGCGUAAAGAGCUCGUAGGCGGCCUGUUGCGUCCGCUGUGAAAGCCCGGGGCUUAACCCCGGGUCGGCAGUGGAUACGGGCAGGCUAGAGGUAGGUAGGGGAGAAUGGAAUUCCUGGUGUAGCGGUGGAAUGCGCAGAUAUCAGGAGGAACACCGGUGGCGAAGGCGGGUCUCUGGGCCGUAACUGACGCUGAGGAGCGAAAGCAUGGGGAGCGAACAGG